rnacentral:rRNA from 1 species
AGAAAAAUUUGCCCCCAUACUAUUUCAAAUGCUUACAUUUUAAUUGAAAACUCCGGUGGAUGCAUUUGGUAUGGCACAAUAUUGAAUUUUUGGAGGGGUAACGGCUCAACACGUCUGCGAUCUUUAUGGGGACUGAGAGGGUGAUCCCCCACACUGAUACUGAUGAACGGACCAGACUCCUACCCUUGGCAGCAGUGAGGAAUAUUGGACAAUGGGUGCGAGCCUGAUCCAGCCAUCCCGCGUGAAGGACGACGGCCCUAUGGGUUGUAAACUUCUUUUGUAUAGGGAUAAACCUACCCUCGUGAGGGUAGCUGAAGGUACUAUACGAAUAAGCACCGGCUAACUCCGUGCCAGCAGCCGCGGUAAUACGGAGGGUGCAAGCGUUAUCCGGAUUUAUUGGGUUUAAAGGGUCCGUAGGCGGAUGUGUAAGUCAGUGGUGAAAUCUCACAGCUUAACUGUGAAACUGCCAUUGAUACUGCAUGUCUUGAGUGUUGUUGAAGUAGCUGGAAUAAGUAGUGUAGCGGUGAAAUGCAUAGAUAUUACUUAGAACAC